GGGUGGCGCAGGAAGAAGGCGCAGAAGGUGGGGGGAGGCGCGCGGAGGCGGCACUCCGUGGGGCAGUGGCCCGGCGGCCGACCCGCUGGGGUCUCGGCCUGGCGCUGCGGGGGUCUGGUCGUGAGGCCAGGAAGGCGGAGGGGCAAGUUAGUCCGCAGGUUGGUCCUCGAGGCGGGCGGCUACCCGGCGGGCCUUCGGGGAGCCAGGAGAACCGCGACUGGGACCGGGCGGCCACUCGUUCAUUCCUUCAACAAGAACAGGCUUCCAGAGGACACAGAUCCACAGGGGGGCUGUCAGAGCCCCAGACAGGCAGCCGGAAGCUCAGGCAGGUCCCGUCCUCCACGCGGCUGCAUGUGGAUGAGGGGAAAAGGAAGUGGGGUCCGGGAAGCCGCCUCUGCCUGGCUUCCCUUCCUUCAGCUUCGGACACUGGCCUUCUCCUGUUCUUCACUGCCUCCAGUGUCUUGAGGUACACCGCUGUGCAUUUCUCUUCUGUGAUUCUUUUGGUUGCAAGUGACAGCCAGUUCUGUCUGGCUCUCACAAAUGAGAGAAUUUAUUGACUCAGGAGACUAAUAAGUCUCAAGCUCUUCUUUUCCCCUGUUCCAUUUGCCUGGGCCAGUGCCCACUCCACUGGACCACUUACCAUCCUGGCCCUCGGACUGGUCCUUCUGACCUGAGCCAACCUGGAGCUGGUGGGCACAGAGGUGCAACUUUUUGCCUGCCUAGCAGCAAAGACAAGAGGCCUCCUCUCUGGGAUAGGGAAAUUAGCCUGUGGAGAAUUCAUCUCCAGGUCUUGGUUCAACUCCCUGCAGCCUCCAGACAAGAGAGGGCAGGGGAGCCCCUCCAAAAUAGUUUCCCUGGUCCAGGCCUGUUCCACCAAGUUUCCCACAGACUUUACCGGAUCGCCUUACCCGUGAUUACCCUGGGAGUGUUCCAGGGGGCACACUCACCUGUGGUGACCUGAGAGACUCAGAGCCCAGGCUGCCUUCCAGCAGCCUCUGGGCUGGGCCUGCCUCUCCACCUGGCAGCUGGGCAGGAGGCCGGAACAGAAGGCUGCAGAGAGAAGAGGCCCAUCAGAACACCCGCCUUCCUGAAAAUGAACACGCAUCCCACAUGGCACCUAACACUGAGAAAAGACACUGUGGCUGGUGGCAGGUCUGGGCAGGAUUGCCUAGGAAUGGGGGACGAGGGAGAGCCCAUGAGGCCUGCCUGCUCCUGCCUUGCACCUCCAGGGACAAGUUCCUGCCUUUUCAGCUCAUGGAAGGAAGUCCUAGCCCCAGGGGAGACUUCACCAGCCACCACUGAGGCCUUUCCGACUUAGGUAGCAGCCCCUUUUAAUAGUGUGUGUGUGAGCCAGAUGUCAUGGCGCACGCCUGUGAUCCCAGCACUCGGGAGGAUGAGGCAGGAGGAUUACCGUGAGUUUGGGGCAAGCCUGGGCUAUAUAGUGAGUUCAGGGCCAGCCUGGACUACAAAGGGAGACCCUGCCUCAAGAAAACAAAUGACAAAAAAAAUAGUGUGGGGGGAUGGGUACCAAGGGUAGGCACUCAGGUCCUGGGAGUGGACAGGCAGGCUGCAGGGCUGAGUGUCCACAGACUGCCCGACACCGGCUUGAGGUGGCACCUUGAGGCUGCUCUGGCCAAAACCCUGUGAGUUUUGGAGAGAUUCAAGCCCUUUGCAGACUCUAUCUUGUUCCUGCCUCUCUGGCUCUGUUAGACUGGGCAGUGGGGUUGACUGGGCUCUCCCCACACCCCUCUCCUGCAAGACUGCCAGCCGCCACGCCCUUCCAGACCCUCUGCCUCUCCCCAGAUUAGCGUCCUGUUCUUCAGGCUCUGUGGUGGGGACAGGGGCGGAGUUCACAGUCCAGGUUCCCGGGUGGGGCUUGGAGGUGGUUUCUGCAAAUGAGCAGCUCCUCUCGGGAAUCACCCAGCACAGAGACAGACGGGAACCCAUACGCUCAGCUUUCGAUCUGUUUUAUGACUGUCCUUCCUUGGCUGGCAUGGUGUUAGCAAGGGGGACUGUAGCCAUGGAGAUCUGUGGCCCCCAGCUCUGAACCUGAGAGUCCACUGCCCCUUGUUCCAGCCUCGGACCCUACACACACAGAGUGGUGAGCUGGGGGCAGAGGCAGGAAUGACCUCAUACCUAGACCUGACCCCCGAGCUCCGAUGCUGACCCCAGGUCAGCAGCACUGGUGGGCAGCAUGGGGGACAGGCUAGGGACGGGGAGCACCAUCAUGCAAUGUCUCCAGCAGCUUAUUUUUAGUUGUGUUAUGUAAGUGGCUUCAUCUCAACGUCACGUAGGAAGGGGGGGGUCUCAGAUUUAAUUACAGGAUGACAGCCUUUGCCUUUGAAGCAAGCUGUUCUCCUGGCAAGGCAGGCACAAGGAUUGUGAGUUUUUGCUCAACACGAGUCCAUCCAGCAAAACUUUAACCUGUUUUCACCGCUCUCCCUGUCUCUCUGACCUCCUCACCUGGCUCUGGCUGAGCUGGCCUGAGAGGGUGGCCCUUGGUCUGAGAACCCGGAACAGCCUGUUCCGGUCAAGGGAGCACUCUGCACCCCCUUCCUUGGCAGCUUCACUGUCUCUCCAAGGGAAGGAGCCACCCAGGCAGAGCUCCUCCUCCUUCUUUCCCCAGACCUGGACUGAAGCUCUUGUAAUCAUAACCAGAAAGUUCCGGAGCAGAAGAGAAUGGAAGGCACAGGAGCCGGGUUCACUCAGGCUUCCGGGACAGUGUUGGGAGGGCCGGGUGUGUGCUCUCUGCUGUCCCUGGCCUUGCUGCCUGCUCCCUCCCAGCACUCCUGGUCCCUGGAAGGUAACUGUGCACACUGCAUGGGACACUGCUCUCCUGGUUCCCGGAGAAGCUGAACAGCUCACUGCCUGCUUUAUGCCCUGGGAGGGGAGCUACCCAGUUGGGAGUCCUGCUCCCUGCCUGCACAGGAGCCAUCUUGGCCCCUUUGUCCAGUGUGUAGAGUAGGACCAUGGUUCCAUGGCAAGCUGUCACCUACAGGGGUGAGGAGAGGGUGAGAUCUACUCUGCAGGGGUACAGGGGGGAUGCAGCUUGGGAAGCAGGCUUGCGGGGAGAAGAAGGUUGGGGAGAGUUAGUUCUAGGAGCUUGUCACUCCCUCUCCUUUGUGGGCAAGAUGGGGCUCCCAUGGUUGCUGGGCAGGUUUCACAGACUCUCCGAGUGGCCAUGAAUGGAGGUUAGGGUUAGGCUGCAAAGCGAUGUUGGGAGGAGCCAAGGCUCUCAGAGACCCUGGCCUGGUGAGUGCUGAGCCCUCAAUAUGUUUUAGAGAGCGCUGCUGCUGUUAGGUUGGAUGGGACAUCUCCAGAGAGUGCCCAAGUGCUGCCCAGAAAGUCCCAUUUGUUAGAGGCUGCCCUUUAAAAAGUGAGGGUGCCUGAGGCAGUGGAGCCCACUCCCUCCUUACCUGCGGGCUGUGUGUAAGCAUUCUUCCGAGAGCACACUAAGGAAGGGGGAAAGAGCAGCUUCCUAGCCAGGAACCUCACCACCAUCUGCUCGGUGGCAAGACCAACACCACUGAGAGGUCAUGGAGACAUCAGGCUCUGGAUGCGAUAGGACCUGUGGACGCUCUGCCUCUGAUCUUCCUCUCCAAACCCAUCUGAUGGUGAGAGAAACAUCACAACUGUCAAGGUCAUCAAAGACAAAAGAAGUCUGAGAAACUGCAGCCAAGAGGAGACAGGACAACUGAAGGUCACAUGGGAGCUUGUGUGGGACCCUGGACAGGACACUGGAGAAGUCUGAAUAAACUUGUCUUAGUGAUAA